UUGAUUGAUCCAAGUUUUACUUUUUUGCCAUCAAGUGAAGAAUGGGUAAAGGUUGAAAAAAUUGCAAAGUUUUUAAAACCUUUUUAUGAAGUGUCCACUCUUUUUUCUGGAAGUAAAUAUCCAACUGCCAGCUUAUAUUUUGGUGGACUGUUUAAGAUUCAAAAAUGCAUAAUGGAGGAGAUGAAAAGUGAUGAUCAAGAUAUAAAAUCCAUGGCAAAUGAUAUGAAAAUAAAAUUUGAUAAAUAUUGGGAAUGUUACAGUGUUAUUUUGUCAUUUGCAGUCAUUUUAGACCCCCGAUACAAUGUGAAGUAUGUAGAGUUUUGUUUUGAGAAAUUUGGAGUUAGUUCUGAUUAUGUGUUGACUAUCUUAGAGAAAUUGAGAAGUCUUUACAAAGAAUACGAGCGAGCAUCUCUAGGUACAUUUGUUGCAGAGAGCAGUGGUGAAGAGAAUAUUGGAGAUGUUCCUAAUGAUGAGAUGGUUGAGUUUGAACAGUUUGAGAGUCAACUAUAUUCGGUCAGUGGGUCCAAGUCGGUCAGUGGGUCCAAGUCGCAGUUAGAAGAGUAUCUAGAUGAAAAAUUAGUCAGUUGGAAGAAAAAUGAUCAUUUGAAUGUUCUCGAGUAUUGGAAAAACGAAUGCGAGAAGCGCCCUCAGUUGUCGAUGAUGGCUCGAGAUAUAUUGAGUAUUCCUAUUACUUCGGUGGCCUCUGAAUUGACUUUUAGCCAUUGCCAGUCGUGUGCUUGACAAGUAUAAAAAUCGUCUUCUUCCGGAAAAUGCUAAAGCUCAAAUUUGCACUGGUUCUUGGUUAGACGGGAUUCCUUCUCUGGCAGACAUUCAAAAAGGAAAUUUAUUAGUACAUGAUUUCAAUAAUCUAGAGGUUUCUGAAUCGAAAGGCGAAAGUGAUUAAGGUAGCUCGGAGUUCCGGAGAGCCACAGGAUGACGG